UGGGGCUCUAUGGGUGAGAGUGGGCUGGAACUCUGUAUCAGUUCCCUCGAUGUUAGGCACCACCCCUGUCUGGUGUGAAGCUGGGUCCAAGCUGCAUCUCUUGAAGGCAUACUGGUGAAAUUUGAGGGCCUGGAAACCUCAAUCCCUUUAGCUUCUUGGCUCAGAUUGUUCGUGGAGGUGCUUUCAUCCCCAGGGGAAGGGGGCAAGAUGGAUCCCCACAUCGUCUGUCUGGACCUCAAGGAAUCCAACCCUUUUUGACAGCUCACAAGGGAGGCACUGACUACUCUCAGUCUACACAUGAGGAAACGGAGGCACAGAAAGGUCAAGAGCCUUGCCCGAGAUCACACAGCAAGCAGGUGAAGGAUGAAAUGAUCAGGCCAAGGUCCAGAGAGGUCAUGAUCUUCCUAAGGUCACACCGCUGGUAAGUGCCAGACCCCCAACUCCAAGUUUCCUUGAGAGGCCAGUGUUCCUUUCAACCCACCACGAAAGCUUCUCUGAAUGAGGUAAACCAAGAUAGAGAGCAGAUACUCAUGUUUUCGACAAGUAUUUGUUGAACACCUAAUAGGUAUAAGGCAGUGGGCCUGUGCUCAGGAGAGAGAGGACUGAGUGUUGACCUCUCAAAGCGCACAGUCUAGCAGGGGCCAUAUGGCAUCUAGCCAUAAGUGAAACCCUGAACAGUUGGUGACAAGGGGCACCAGGGAGGUACAAGCAAAGGGAGGGCCAGGGAGUGCUUCCAAGGGGAGGUGGCAUUUGACACAGGCCUAGGGGAGUGGGUAGAAUGUGUUCAGUGCUAAAGAUGGGAGGGAAGAAUGUUCUAGAUGAGGGGGACAAGAUGGGC
rnacentral:lncRNA from 1 species